AUGCUGAAGAGUGAGGAACUGUCAAUCAGCAGGGACCCUCCUGAAUUAGGUGAAUGCUAACAUUUGGCAAGUGUCAUCACAGUUGCUUGCCCAUGCCCUUGUAAUGCUCUAAGCCAGUGACCCUUCCCUCUUUGUCACACAUUUCAGGUAGCACUCAGAGCUCAUUGUGUGCAACUGAGGUCAACUGCCAACCAACCAAGUGCUCUGUCCUGCUCGCACAAAGCUUUCCCUGAAGGAAGGAACCUUCAGUGGCCAUGGAAACCAAAAUGCCACACAAAAGCCAGAGGGUGCUUGGGAGGUAAACAAGAUAGAUGAAAGGUGAUGGUGCUUUUAAUCUCCACAAUCAAUGUGUUUAGGUGGGUGACUUUAAUUUAAUCCAUGUCUGAUUAACCCACUCCCUUUGUUUACACCAUUAUAGGAGUUUUUCUCCUAUAAAAUUUUUAAACAAAUGUUAAAAGAUUCCAGGAGAGGGCUGGUCGCCACAGUGUUUUCAUCCUAUUCACCCCACUGAUGUAAUCAUGGAUGUUCUCAUUAUCCACAUAAAUGCCUAAUCCUUCUUAUUCCUGCUAAGCUUAUCCUCAGUGCUAUAUUUUUGAAUGAGAGAGUGAAAGUUCUUAUACAAAUACAAAUUCUUGUGACUUUCUCUUUUAGACACCUAGCAGGAUGAAACAACUGGAAACAAUGGCACUCAGUAAGGAAACCUUUUCCAUCAAGAAGUCUUGGAGCAGUUACGUGAAAACUGGUUUUGAUUUGGCUCUCUGCAACAGACUAUCUAUCCAGCAAAACAAUAUCAAAAAAUUAAAAGGCAAACUGGGAGUGGAAAUCCUGGUCACAGGAUGCAAAAGUGGAACUACAUGAAUAUUUCAGAGACAUCUACAGAUUGUACAGUCAGAAUACCUCCACUACUAUUCUACAAGGAAUAUGCAGCAAGAGACGACAGUGCUUCCACCUAUGAAAAAGCUAUGGACUCCACAGUAUCUGCUCUGGCAUGCCAGCUGGCCUCUCCACACAUGUCUUCUGUCUCUCUCAUCAGCACGUAUGGAACAGAGAUGUGUGCUGUCACCUGGGAAGGAGGAAGGUAG
rnacentral:lncRNA from 1 species